UACGUAGGUGGCAAGCGUUGUCCGGAUUUAUUGGGCGUAAAGAGCGUGUAGGCGGCUAGGUAGGUCCGUUGUGAAAACUCGAGGCUCAACCUCGAGACGUCGAUGGAAACCAUCUAGCUAGAGUCCGGAAGAGGAGAGUGGAAUUCCUGGUGUAGCGGUGAAAUGCGCAGAUAUCAGGAAGAACACCCGUGGCGAAGGCGGCUCGCUGGUACGUGACUGACGCUGAGACGCGAAAGCGUGGGGAGCGAACAGG
rnacentral:rRNA from 1 species